UUUUUUGCAGGUAUUGUCAAAUUCAAAUAGAACAUCCCAAGCAAACCAGGGAUUAGUCUUCAUCAAAUAAGGGGAGAUUGUUGAACUUGAAGCUUUGAUGUUUCCAAAUUUGUGAAGUUUGUUUGAAGACUAGGUUGUUGCUUGUGGACAUGGGGUCUGGGUAGAUUAGAAUUUAUCAAUCUACUCUUAGCUUGAUCCAAAACUAAAUCAAUCAUGUUCUUUAGAAGAAAAGGUGUUUUUCAAAGUAAGUGAAAAACAACUUGUUGAUUUUUCGUUUCAAUCAGUUGUUUUACACUUUCUACUUUUAGAAAGGAUUUGAAAAAGCUGAAAUUGGCUGACCUCACAGGCUGGCCUCACAGUCAAAGUCAUUUCAAUCCAUUGAUUCUCACUUUCAAUCGAUUGAUUUUUUGAGAACAUAACAAAAUUGGUUAAAUCUGUUAAAUUUGUUUUUGCUUAUUUCAAAUCUGUUUUGACCCCUGAUUGAUAGUCUAGAACGACUAUUUUUAAGGCUAUAUAACUAGUUUUUGAAUCUAUGAUUAGAAAGAGAGAUCAUAUUACAAAGAUCAAAGAGAUUUUCCAAAGAUUGCAAGAUUGUUAAGAGCUUUGCAUUGGUUAAGAGUGGAAUAGGUUCUGUUGUAUUCAUUUUUGUAUCAGGUGUGAUCCUUCCUAUUCUUUGUUGUUCCUUAAUUCAUUUUGUAAAAGUGUGAGAAACUGAUAUUUACAGUCAGAGGGUGUUCAGACUUGUAAUGGUGGUGUUUCAAAGAGGGUGAGUGUUCUUGAAGGGUUCAAGAUCACCUCUUUGGUGCUUGUGUUGUGUAAUAUGUAUUUGAUUGCUUAGUGAAAUACCCAAGGGUUUCUGGGGAUUGGAUGUAGCUCAGGUUAAGAGUGAACCAGUAUAAUCUGUGUGUGUUCAAUCUCUCUAUCUCUCACUACUUAUAAAAUUGUUUGAUCUAUUUUUUUUUUCAAAGUACUGAUAAAAACAAUCGAUUGAUUCAUAUAAACAAUCGAUUGAUUUUCUGGAAUCAAAUUAAAACAGUUUUGUUGAUUCACUUAUCUGAUUAAAAUUUGCGAAAAUCUUUCAAUAAACAAUUCAUCCCCCCUCUUGUUUAAAGGCCUUUAAUUCCAACAAUUUUGUAUCAUAGAAUUUGUGUACUUUACAUUUUUAUUCGAGUAAUUGCUUUUCUUUUUCAUUGUUUGGGAAAAUGCUUCAACUACAAUCCCAUUAAACUUUGUAAUAAUUUUUGUGCAUUAGUGUGAUAGUGUGUCAGCGAGCUCUCAGUGUUCUUUGCACUAUCUCCAUAGGACUCGUCUAGCAUUACAUUUAAAUUUCAUCUUGUUGUCUUUCUUAUUAUUUUCCUAUUUUCAUUUCCUUGCUUAUACGUCUUUGUGAUACUUUAGGGUUUUCUUUUUCUUGCGACUAGAUAAAGCUUUCUUUGGUUUUUUAAGAGAAUUUCCAUACAUCCAUAUCUUUUUCCCUUUUUCCAAAUUCUUUUGAAGUUUUCUUCUCGAAACUUUUGUUAGAUAUCUUUAAGGUAAUCUCUGGCUAGGAAAGCCUUGGUGAUGGAUAUCCAAUAGGAGACGAUUUUAUUGAUGAAGGAAACGGAUCUUCACCUACACAUUUGAAGUUCUUCCUUCUAGUCUUCUCACAAAUUAAAAGAACUCAAAGAGAAGAUCAAGCCUAAAGAUAAAGAAGUCUACAAACUCUCAAAUAAAAGGCUUCUUUUUUAAUAUCUCUCUUUAGUAGAAAAUAUAUAGAAUAGUCUUUAGGAAGGUGCUUAGAGGGAAACAUAAGAAACCUCUUUUGUAAAAGCAUCCUUAGUUUGUAGUUUAGAAAUAGUAGUAGCUUAGGGGGGUGUGAACUUAGUAAGGGAAGCUAGGGGGAGUGUAGAUAUGAGUUAAGAGGUGCCAAACUAGGAAGGAAGGUCACACUUCCUUCAUGCACUAGUUGGCGCCGAAUUUGAAUGUCAUUUAGGGGCACAUUUGCAUUUGAUUAGCUUUGCAUUUCAGCACCUUAUAGGCUAUAAACAGAGGUACUUGGCUUGUACAAAUCAGAUUUGGAAAUUGUAGUAAGAAAACUCUACUCAAUUUGAGAGAGAAAUUGGAAGAGCUUUGGUGCCUUCAUCAAGUCUUAUCUUGGGUGUCUAUGGUGAACCUCAAGUGGCGGCAGCUCACUAAUCUUGGAGUAUCCACACUCUAAGUGGCGUGAUCACUCACCUCUCCUUCCAUCUCCACAAGUUUUCUAUUCUCAAGCUUUGUUCCUUCUUUCUACUUCAUGUUCUAGCUUAAUUGUUCUUCAUUUCUGUUCGGUACUUUGCUGAAUUUCUCAUUUUUGUUCGGUAAUUCAUGUUCUUUGGCUGUAUUCCAUUGUGUUUUCUUCCAUUCUUGUUGAUUGAUUCAAUUUGACAAUACAUGGACUUCCAUGUGAGCUUUGGUUCGGUGCAAAGUCUUGGUGAGUUCUUGAAUUAGAACAUUGAUCCAAUUCUAAUUAAAGUGCCAGUUCAUGACCAAUUCUAGUUGUUCCUAAGAAUGUCAAAGAAUCAUGUAUUCUUGCUAUUGCAUUCACAUCAUGUGGUAUCUAGAGUUUAGGUUUUGUGUUGCUUAAAUUUUUGAGUUGUGUUGCACUUUAUCUUCAAGAGCUCUUUCAUUCAAGUUGUUUACAUUCUGUUUUAGCUUUAUUUGAGUUUCCUUGCUGUUUUUCUUUGUUACACCAAGUGUUUGUGAAAAGGGUUAUGGCACUCAUUCUUCAUAUGAGCUUCGCCGCGGCUAUUAGGUCAUUUGACGCACCUUCCUUAAGCUGACCUUAAGCUUCCUUUCACUUCUUGUUAUUUCUUGAGAUAUGUCUUUUAAUUUUGUAAUCAUGUCAAGUUUUGUCUUAGUCAUGUUAUUCCAUAAUUGUCAUUACUUCUUGUAGUCCUUUUAUUGCUUUGACUGUUUCUUGCUUUGGUUUACUUUCUGUUUUUGAGUUUAUUGCUUGAUCCUUUGUGCAUUUUCAUUUUUAGAUUUGAGUUCUUGCUUGUAUUUUCAUUCUAUACAAGUUCCUUUACACCAUUUCCAUUAUGUCUUUGCUAGUUCAUCAUACUGUUUUUCAUUCCUAAAUAGGAUACUCUGUUUUCUUACAAACGUGCUACUGUUUUCAAUUUACUGCAAUUAAUUGGCUCACUGGAAAUUUGUGAAAAUUUGGAUUUACAUUCUUCAAAGUGUUACAAAAGCAUAGCAAAAAGAAGUACUCAAAAAUUCCAAGUACACAAAAAAUGAUAAAUAAAAUACAGAAAGUGUACAAUUCUGCCGAAAAAAUACAGUAAUUGGGCAGCGAUUUUGAAAAAUUUAUUUCUCUCAAUUGGCUUACUGUUUUUCACUCAUUCCAGUGCCAUUAUUGAUUUGAGACAUUGAAGUUUCUGUGGUUAAUUUUUCACAUUCCAGUUCGCUUUCAAUCAUUCCAGUUAAAUCUGUAAACAUAGCACAAUUUGCAUAAAAAAAAAUAUUUUCCAGUAGCUUGUUUUUGUUUCUUAAAUCUACUCUAGUACUUUUCUCUAGGACUCUUUUGGUGUGCCUUCUUUCUUCAUUGAGUUCUUUAUUUUCUUGCUUGUCUUUCAUUCAUUAAUCUUUGAGUUUGUCUUUCAUAUAGUAUUCCUUUUCCAAUUACCUUUCCUUGCUUAUACCUUUGCUUGUUUGUCAUUCUUUCUUCUUUGGUUUUGUGAUGAAGUACUUUCAAGAUUCUGUGCUCUUGCUUUGGCAUUUUUCACUUGAGGAUUACUAAGGCCUUAAGAUAAGCUUGGUGCAGAGAGCAUUCUUUCUUUGAGAGUGAAUUUCAGUGACCACUUCACUGCGGUUUUGGUUCCAAUUUCUUUUAGCUGACUGUGUUUCCUAACAUUUGUUUGCUGUUUUAUGUUUGCUGUUUUCUUUGAUAAAAUGGCUCCAUAUUCUAGUGAGGAAUCUUGCAAGCAGAAUUCACCUUCUAAAGCUUCUCUUCGUGGUGAAUUACUGGAAGCUCAACGCCAUAUUAGAAGAUUGGAGGAAAGGUUGCAAAAACUGGACAUGCAACAAGCUGGACCGUCUAAUGCUCACCAUGCAGCGCACCAUUCACAUAGACAUUCGUCUAGGGGAUCAUCCAAUGCCUUUGGCCGUGAAGAAGUGCGAAGAAGAAGGGAGCCAACUCCUUCCUUUCAUGGCUAUGAUCCUAAAGGGAGAGACCACCGUGACAAUGGCUAUUACCGAGAGGCUAAAGCUAGACUUCCCUUGGUCAAGCUUCCAAGCUUCAAUGGAGAUAGUGAUCCUAACAUCUAUCUAGAUUGGGAGGCCAAGUGUGAGCAGAUUUUUGAGCUACAUGGGAUCCAAGAUGAGCAUAAGUAUAAGUUAGCUACUUUAGAAUUUUGUGAUUAUGCCAUGAAAUGGUGGCAUGGACUUGUAAAGGACAUUAUGUUUCACAAGGGUCCUCCCGUGGACUCUUGGAACUCUCUUAAGUUUCAAAUGCGCGCUAGAUUUGUACCGCCCCACUUUAGGAAAGACCUUAUGUUGAAACUACAACGGUUUCAACAAGGCACGCUAAGUGUGGACGCUUAUUAUAAAGAAUUAGAAACGCUUUUGUGUAAGUUAGAAAUACGUGAGGAUGACGAAGCUUUGAUUGCUAGGUUUGUUAGUGGGUUAAGGAAGGAAAUCCAAGAUAUUGUGGAAUUACAAGAGUAUUCAUCAUUUGGGUCUUUAAUUCAUCUAGCAANNNNNNNNNNNNNNNNNNNNNNNNNNNNNNNNNNNNNNNNNNNNNNNNNNNNNNNNNNNNNNNNNNNNNNNNNNNNNNNNNNNNNNNNNNNNNNNNNNNNNNNNNNNNNNNNNNNNNNNNNNNNNNNNNNNNNNNNNNNNNNNNNNNNNNNNNNNNNNNNNNNNNNNNNNNNNNNNNNNNNNNNNNNNNNNNNNNNNNNNNNNNNNNNNNNNNNNNNNNNNNNNNNNNNNNNNNNNNNNNNNNNNNNNNNNNNNNNNNNNNNNNNNNNNNNNNNNNNNNNNNNNNNNNNNNNNNNNNNNNNNNNNNNNNNNNNNNNNNNNCCAUCAAGUGAAAAUGAGAGUGAAAGUCCUUGUGAAGGUGACUUGUUGAUGAUAAGGCGUAUGUUGGGAACAAUUCCAAAAUAUUUGGACGCUACUCAAAGAGAAAACAUUUUUCAUACCCGAUGUCUUAUCAACAACAAGUUAUGUUCUUUGAUUAUUGAUGGAGGAAGUUGCACUAACGUGGCUAGUACAAGAGUAGUGGAGAAGUUAGCCUUACCCACUAUCUCUCAUACCAAGCCUUAUAAAUUACAAUGAUUAAGUACCGAAGGUGAAAUAAUGGUUAACAAACAAGUCCUCAUUAACUUUACAAUAGGAAAGUAUAAGGAUGAGUUUUUAUGUGAUGUUGUGCCCAUGGAAGCAACUCAUCUUCUUUUAGGAAGGCCUUGGCAAUAUGAUAGACAUGUUUUACAUGAUGGCCUAUCCAAUACUAUGUCUUUUUCCUUCCAAAAGCACAAGGUUGUCUUAAAACCUCUAUCUCCCAAAGAAGUUCAUGAGGACCACAUAAAAAUGAAAACUAAAAGAGAAAAUGAGAAAGACAAAGAAGUAAGUACUUUACCGAGUAACACCAUUUUCUCCACUAAAUCCAUCAUGUUGACUCGUGCUAUGCCUCACAUGGAACCUCCAAGGUCUUCUUCUUCUUUAUCUUUUUCAUUACCUAAGGUUCCUAUUGCAACACCAAAUUGGUUAAAACGUGUUAGGAAUGAUUUUUUACCUCCUAAUGGGUUUCCCCAUAUAAGAGGUCUUUUUCCAAAAGAAAUCAUUAUUCCCAAACACAUUUUCCAACUUGGUCAAUUUUUCGAACCUCCUUUUCUGCUAUCCCACCAUUUCCUAAAGCUAAGUCAUGUUUAUCUUUAUCUUCAACUUUUACUUGUACACAUAAACUGACUUUUUUACGUGCAGGGUUUCAGAAUUCGAGGUCGAAUUCUCUCCAACUCGGGGAGUAUGAUGGAUAUCCAAUAGAAGACGAUUUUAUUGAUGAAGGAAGCGGAUUUCACCUACACAUUUGAAGUUCUUCCUUCUAGUCUUCUCACAAAUUAAAAGAAGUCAAAGAGAAGAUCAAGCCUAAAGAUAAAGAAGUCUACAAACUCUCAAAUAAAAGGCUUCUUUUUUAAUAUCUCUCUUUAGUAGAAAAUAUAUAGAAUAGUCUUUAGGAAGGUGGUUAUAGGGAAACAUAAGAAACCUCUUUUGUAAAAGCAUCCUUAGUUUGUAGUUUAGAAAUAGUAGUAGCUUAGGGGGGGGUGAACUUAGUAAGGGAAUCUAGGGGGAGGGUAGAUAUGAGUUAAGAGGUGCCAAACUAGGAAGGAAAGUCACACUUCCUUCAUGCACUAGUUGGCGUCGAAUUUGAAUGUCAUUUAGGGGCACAUUUGCAUUUGAUUAGCUUUGCAUUUCAGCACCUUAUAGGCUAUAAAUAGAGGUGCUUGGCUUGUACAAAUCAGAUUUGGAAAUUGUAGUAAGAAAACUCUACUCAAUUUGAGAGAGAAAUUGGAAGAGCUUUGGUGCCUUCAUCAAGUCUUAUCUUGGGUGUCUAUGGUGAACCUCAAGUGGCGGCAACUCACUAAUCUUGGAGUAUCCACACUCUAAGUGGCGUGAUCACUCACCUCUCCUUCCAUCUCCAUAAGUUUUCUAUUCUCAAGCUUUGUUCCUUCUUUCUAGUUCAUGUUCUAGCUUAAUUGUUCUUCAUUUCUGUUCGAUACUUUGCUGAAUUUUUCAUUUCUGUUCGGUAAUUCAUGUUCUUUGGCUGUAUUCCAUUGUGUUUUCUUCCAUUCUUGUUGCUUGAUUCAAUUUGACAAUACAUGGACUUCCAUGUGAGCUUUGGUUCGGUGCAAAGUCUUGGUGAGUUCUUGAAUUAGAACAUUGAUCCAAUUCUAAUUAAAGUGCCAGUUCAUGACCAGCUCAAGUUGUUCCUAAGAAUGUCAAAGAAUCAUGUAUUCUUGUUAUUGCAUUCACAUCACUUGGUGCUUAAGAAGUCCUUGUGGCUCACCUUACUUUCUUGGGAGUGAACUUGAAACUUUAUCAUUUUUACUUCCUUUACUAAACUUCACCCAUAAUAUUGUUUUAUCAAAUUCUCUUACUUUGAAAAUAUUUCUAGAUUCACUUUAGUUAUUUUGUUUCAAACAAUUGUGAAAAGUUUCUUACAAUCAACCAUGAGUGAACCAUUUCAUCAGUCUGGUGUUCAUGGCAUUAUAAAUGCUCAAACUCAACAUGAUAUCCGCUUCCAACUAGACCAACAGACUAAAAAUCUUUAAGAUAAAGUAACUCCUUAUACAAUAUAAACAAACUCAGGAAAAUAAAAAACAUAGGUCUAGAAGUAAAUGGAGACACUUCACAGACCUAGGGGUAGACACUGGAACGGCAUUAUCCUCACAUUGAACCUUAUAAGCAACCCUAUUCUCCAAGUAAAGAGGUAUCAUAUAAUUCCUAUAUUAUGAAGCAAUAUUCUAGCUCCUCCUAUCCUAGGAAGGAUUCCAAAAGAGAAUGUUAUUCAUCUAAAUCAUACUCUAGGGAGAAGACUUCACAAAAAGUUUCUUUUAUUGAUCCUAUUGUACCAUGUUACACACUUGAAACUUUUUUUCCUUCUCCCUCUCUUGUAUUUUCCCAUUCUAAUAAAGAUAUCCUACCUAUAUCUCCAUAUACUUUAAAUUUUUAUGAUCAUAGUCAGGAACAACAAUUUUUUGAAAGUUCUUCCCAUGACAGUUUUUUCCACAAAUCAUGAUGAUAAUAAUUCCAUUGAUACUAGUCUUUCUUUCCACGAAAAAGAAAUUUUUGAAACUCCAGUUUUCGAAUCUAAAAAUGAAACCGAGCUCAAAGACAAUUAUUUUUCUGGAGUUGAACCAGACAUUAAAAUAAACUAUUUCUCCUUAAACCAAGGAGUUACUUAAUGCCAACCUUUUCUCUAGACCCAUUGCCAAUGAGAAGAAAGGGAAGGGCAAAUCAAGAGAAAAAGACAUGUCUUCUACAGAGUUGAUUAAUAUUGAGUAUAAAGGAGAGGAGUCUAGUACUCGUAUUAUUCAUAUUACUUCCAAUGACUCUUCCCUUGAUUCCAAUAUUUUGUUUAAAAAUGUUAAUCAACUUCAUACUUUCCAUUGAGAAAAUGAUUUUCAGCCUAUUAGUCAAUUUUUUCAAAGAAUUUCUCUCAUGGAUAGUUAUCAAUUAUACCUUUGUUUAUUCAAAUGUUGAAAUACAACAUAAAUACCCUUUUUCAAUCUUAUAAACAUUUUUUGCUUCAAAAUGAUGAGAAUUUAGUUGUGAGUCAACAAGUGAAAUUCAAGCCUUCUUUAGGACAUUAUGCUAAAAGUGUUUUUAGUCCCAUUAUUCCUAUAGAAGCUUGUGAGUUUUAUUAGACAACCCUAGGACUUUUUCAAGUACAUUUUUUUACCAGGGUUGUUUUCCUAAACUUACUUACACUAACAAAGGCAGUAGCUUUUAUGACUAGUUUUCCUUUUGAAAAUCUUUUGUAUAAAGCUAGACAAGACUUUGUUCAAACAUCUUGUGAAGACUUGCUAGUAAUAAAACACAAAGAUCAAAAUUUUAGGAACCUUCAUGAGGUAGCAAAAUUGAAAACUCAAAAUAAAAAUAUCAGUACUCUUUGCAUCUAUUUUAUCAACCUAUCAAGAAAGGAGUACCUUACCCUUGAACCAAAGAACAUGUUUUCUAUUUUUCUCCUACCUUUUAUUGUCCAUAUUUUUUUCAUGUUAAUUUUUGUUUGUUUUUAUAGGGACACUUUAAACCCUAGCAAAAACAACAAAUUUUUCUAUAUUUUCUUAACACCAAAUAGGUUUCAGAGGAUACUUGUAAACUAAAAACAAAACUUGGUCAAGAAAAUCUUCAACUUCACACAAAACAAAUCAGAUGACCAUAUUACCUCAACACAAAAAAUAAAUUGUAUACUUUUAUCACUUAAUUGAGGUAAUUCUUCUUCUUAUUAUAUUUCACUUUUUUCUACACUGCUUUCUCAAUUCUGUGUGGUGUUUUAUGUUUCCACCUUAGGAAAUAAGAAAUACCAUAAAAGUACCAUACCAAAAACUUUGUUUUUUUUUAUCUCUACAUCCAUCAACUUCUAGUCUUCUACAUUCUCCUUAUGUUUACUGCAUUUUUCAAGUGGAUUCAUGAACCCAACGGAACUUCAAGCCUUUUUUCCGCACAUAAGGUGGCACUUUAAGUCGAAUCUAAGGAAAAAUCCUCUUUAAAGGGAGGGAGCCUGAUGGAGGACCAUCCAAAGCCACCAUAAAUAAGAAUAAAAGGCAGAUGAACUAUUUGUAUCAAUAAUAGAAAUAACUCGUAUAGGAUUUAUAUUCUACUUUUAUCUAGAGUAUUUUAUAAAUGAAAUAAGGAUACUCUAUAAACCCUAACUUUUCACACAAGUAAGGGCUUCUAGAGCACCUUAGAAGAGAACAUACGGCUUCAUUAAGCCACCAUAAUCACUAUAGUUAAGUUUACUUAACUAGAGCUAUGGUAGCUUAAGGAGCAAGCUAUCUUCAUCUAUAAAUACUCCCAAAUUAACUCAUGUAUUUAGAUUUGCAAUUAAAUGAAUGAAGAGUUCUGAAUUGGAACAAUCAUUCUCUCCUAAAUCUCUCUUGCUGGUGAGCCUCUUUGAACUAGUAAACCUAGGAAGGUUGGCCAAACCUCCUUCCCCUUCAUUGCACCAUCAAAAUUCCAAAACCUAGCACCUCUGAACUGUUUGGUGCCUUCAUUACCACUUUAUUCUGCUGCAUUCUCCAUUCAAGAGCUUAGAUUACAUCACCAAGGUUUCUCAUUUGAAAAUAGUCUUCACAUAUGUCCUUCUCCUUGCAUGAUGUAGUUUUUUUGAAUUUUGAUGGAUGAUGGAUUGGAGGAAGGGUGUGAAAGCUAGUUAGAACAUAAAAGGAGUUAUGAAUUCAUGAAGUGUAACGGGUGGAGAAAAUUCAGGAAAGGAAUGGUGAAAAUUCAGGUUUGAAAACCUUUAACCCUAGCUUGGCCCACAAGGGUGCUCCUAGAAUAGACCUAGGCCCAAAUAGAAGCCUAAAAUCUUACAUUACUUGACCUAAAUUCAUGGCCUUAUGAAUUCCUAAUCUAUACUAUACAAUUGUUCAAACUAAAGCAUGACUCAAAAUGAUGACUUGACCCUGCUGAAACCAGUUAACUUUUGGUCUUCUUGUAAUGUAUUGUCCAAUGCUCUAGUUGUUCUUAUUAUGAUAUGGAGAUCUUCUUGGAUAUGCUUUAUGCAUGUUUUCAUCCUAAACUUGUCCUUUUUAUUGGGCCUACAAAAGAUAGAUAAAAACCAAAUUAGAUUCAUUUGGCUAUAGGUCCUCGAACAAAGCUCUAGGUCUCCUUAUUUUGUGGAUGUUGUGACUGAAUGGUUUUCCAUCAACAUACCUUUAAAGGCUUUAUCUCACUAAAAUCACAAUGAGUCAGGGAUGUAAGAUAUUAUAGUGAAGACCAAUAGAUAUGAUAGAAGCCUCUUCUUCUAGUCUUGUUUAUGAUUUCUUUUUUGGAUGGAGAGUGGAUGAAGCAUGAUUUAUGGAGACAUUUGAGAAACUCAAUAGGAGUUUCGGUGAUUGAAUUGGAGGAAAGGAUAUUAUACAAGUGAGACGUGAGACCAACUCACUAAGAAAGAGUUUAGGCUAUGUCUAAAAGGAGAUUAACCUAGGGAGAACAUAGGAAAAAGUAGAAUGACCAAGAUUGAGCAGCGUUUCAUUAUUAAUUCUAAGUUAAAAAUACAAGAGGGGAACACUCUUAUUUAUAGGACACUUAGACAUCCAUUUGAAAAGGAGAUAAGGUGGGAAAAAUCAAGUUUGAAAGUGUUCAACCUUGGUGCCAAAGCUAGUCAUGUUUUCCACAUUUGAACAAGGCAUGGAAAGCAUGCAUCCUUUACCCUAGAGUGUGCCUUCUCCUCCUCAUGACCGGUUGAGAAUUUCUCUUGGGCCUUUAGAAGCCCAAUUGAAACCCUAACUAGAUUUAGAAAACCCUAAUCUAACAUAAGCCCGAAUAGAAGCCCAAAAUCUUACUCUACUUUGUCCAAAUACAAGGACCAAUUAUUCUAUGCUACUUGACCCAAUAUAUGGCUCAUGAAAUCCAAAUAUUCUCUAUACAAAUAUUUAAACUAAAGCUUAACCUAAUAAAUAAGGACUUGAGUCACAAUCUUCUUGUAAUCUUCUGACCAAAGCUCUAGUUGUUGUUCCAUGGUGUGGAGGUCUUCUAUUAGAUAGUUUGUACAUUUCCUCAUUCUAGAGUUGUUCUCUUUAUUAGGCUGAGAAAGACAGAUAAAGCACAAUUAGGCUCAUUGUUCACAAGCUCUUGAAUAAAGACUUUAGGUCUUCAACCUUCUUAUCUUGUAGAUAUUGCGACUAUGUGAUUUUUCAUCAAGUUCUCUUUAUCUAUAACAUCUUUCUGACCAAAGUCUUUAUGGGAUUUUGUUCCUGCCGGUUGACUCGGUUGCCUUCAUACGUCUCACGAUACUCCCACGCCCGAUUCUCUAUGCCUUCGUUCGUGCCUUUCUCCCGAUAUAACACCUGAAAUCACAAAGACAAAGGGCGCCCUAAAGGCCGUUUGCACUCCGACGCUCAAGUCAAUCUUAGGGCUAGAAAACACCAAAACUGUUAAGCGUAAAGCUCUGUGUAAACUGUGUGUGUAAAGUUGCACAAAUGAAUAGUGUACCUUGUUAGGUCUAUUACUACCCUUUAUAUAGUCUAGGGUUUCCACUGUUUCCACUACCCAAAUUAGGAUUUUUGAGGAUGUGCCCUAGCGCCGCUAUUACCCACUCUUAGGGCAACCUAGCGCGUAAGGCCCCCUAACUGGAGUGCAACCUCUGAUGGGAUGACCACCUGGGUGCCAACUCGUGCACCUGAUCUCCAUCCUGGGAGCGCCCUAGCUGCUCACGUACCAUGCGUGCAACUUCACCCCUGGAACGUGACCCUUACAGGUCGUAUCUUUUCUAGUGGAUCUUUACUUGUGUUACGCUUGAACGGUGUCAUCCACACCACACGCAUGGACUCUCAUGACCUAGGCUUCUCCCUAACUGAUAACUAGUUUGUGGUUUGGGAUCCACCUCUCGUGGCCCAGCUCUGUUGUUCAAGUCGCCGAUGUCCGACCUCUCUACACUGCCGAGGACACAUCAGCACAUCCUGGUGAUCGAUCUCUGACCACUCUUCGGCAUCUUGGCUCACACCUUGCGAGACCCUGACCCAACCAUGCUCGUGGGACCCAACUUAUGUUGCCCCAUCAUUACUAGCGAUCUGAUGGCAUUUUCAUGAAGGUCUUCUUGAAUCAUGUAAGAAAAUGGUGCGGAAGCUAUGAAGGUGUGUGUGCAAGAUCCUCCUAAGAGUGAUGUUGAUCUUGAAGGUGCAUGAUAGGUAUGAUUAUAGGGAGGUUCGGCCAGCCCAAGGAAAGGUGAAGGAUGUGAAGUUUAAAGCCUAGAGUUAUAGGGAGAAGCAAAGCUUGGCACAAAAUGGCAGCAUAACUUUACUCACAAUAUACUUGAAAAUACAAGGUGUAGGCUCCUCCUUUUAUAGGCUAAGGAGGACCAUAAUGCAACCCUAAUGCUAGCCAAAUGAAAUGUAAAUGUGAAGCACAUGGGGGCACAUGGCACAUGGGUGCACAAAUGAGCACAUGGGGAGGGGUGUGUCUAGUUUUUAUGCUCACCCCCUCCAUGGGCUUUCUAGACCGGCCUUGGUAAAUUUAGAGGUUUUUUUAGAAACUCUAAGUUUACCUAGGUUGGUGUUUUAGGUGCCAAAAUUAAUUCUAAGAAAAUUACAAAUAAAGUUCCUAUGCUAAUUUUGACAAGAAAUUAAAGUCUACUCUACACUAGAGUUUAUGACAUUUGAACAUGUAAAAGAACGUCUUCUUGGAUCCUCUUGGCCAUAACUCUAUGGUUGGCCCAAAUCUAUCCUUUGGUGGGCUUGCAUGUGGGCUUGUGCUUGGGCCUCUUCCAUCACGAUCAACGACGCCCGAGGACUGAUCGAUACAGAUUUAUUGUCACAUCUAAUGUGUUUAAGACAUGUUCAUAAUUUGGUUAGAUGUUAACUUGUACUCAUCGCUUUAAUGGUAUCAACUAUCUCUAACAUUAAUUAAAUUUAUAAUAGUUUGUUCACCUUUCUCAAGAUAAUCAAUGAUCCCCAUUAUUUGUUAUUUUGUUUAGAAUAUCUAAUUAAUUCUUUUUGCCUAUUUUUGUGCGUGACAAUCUUAUCCUUAACCACUCCUUAUUAGAAUUUCAAUUAUUUCUCCAUCAUUAACAAAUUUAUCUUAUGAUAGGAUUUUGAAAUGUAGAUUUUAUUUCUUUGUGGAACUCACGAUUCUUAUUCCAAACGUUAUAUUUUUUUUUAUGAAUAUUCAAAUCCUGAUAAUAUAUCUUUUUUUGUCAAAUAAUUCAAAUUUUAAAAUUAUCUUUUCUUAAAGAUUUUCUUUCUUCCUUUGCACAACAAGUAACUCAUUUUCAAAACAUUAAAUAUUUAUAUUUGAACUCAUACCAUUAUUUGUCACCUUGGUUUUUUUAUAAUAAGAUUUAAUAUUUUUAUUCCAAGAACCCAUAUAUUAGUGAAGGCUAACAUCACCUUACAAGCCGUUUUGUAAGGUUGAGUUAAACUUAAAAUUUAUUUCUUAAGAAUACCACAUCGACUAUAAAUAAGACCAAUUCAUAGUAUAUAAAUGGGUGUAAACCUUACCUUAGAAGCUAAAUUUAUAAGGUUAAAUUAGUCUUAAAGACUACUUAUUAAAAUGGUAUCAAAGUCAUUUAAAGUUUAUCAUAACAAAAGUUGUUAGGCCAAUUGAGUCAUCCGUUAUUGGGCAACUAUCGAUCACACUCAUAAACCCACAUCGACUAUAGAUAAAAUCAAUUCAUAAUAAUAUAAGUGGGUGCAGAUCUCAUCUUACAAAUCAAUUUUUUUAAGAUUGAGUUAUCUUAAAAUUCACUUCUUAAAAUUAUAUAUGGAGAUUACAACCCAAAUUAAACAUUAAAUGAUAAAAAAUCAAUGAUAACAAUUAGUAUAAUUUUAAGAUACAUUCUCUUAAAAAGCACAAGGUGUGCUUAUACUCGAUGUUAUAUCAUCUUCUAUUUAAAAAAAAAAAUACUUUCUAGCCAGUAAAAUAAUUAAGUCAAUUUCAACAUAAAUUUUGAUAAAUUUCUCUUUUAUCGUGUUAACAGUUGUUAUGUUAACUUUAAACAAUUUAGCAAUAGCAAUUAACUUUAAGCAAUUUAGCAAUAGCAAUGAUAAGGGUAAACAAUGCACUUUCAUUAAAGUAAAUAGUAAAUCAUAUAUACAGCAAAUAUUUAAUCCAUCUAGUAGUUGAUGAUAGAGAUAUCUAAAAGUGAUUAACGAACUGUUAAAUAAUGGUAAAAAUAUAAUAUAAGGACUACCAUUAAUAACAUUUUCUCUAAUUUACCAUUGGUGUCAAUCAUGUCAAACCUGAAAAGAUGUUUUAUAUUUUAAACGCAUUGUCAAGAAUUAAUCUUCGUUUCAUUGCACAACUAAUUUUAUUUUUGUUUAUAGUAUAUCUUCAAAACAUAAAUGUCUACUAUAACAACACAUAUAAUUAACCUUUUCUAAAUUUUAAUACAUAAAUAUCAAAAUAUAUCAGAGUUCAAGUGUUAAACUUAUGAAAUUUUAUUCUGUCAAAAGUUUCUAAAGAGAAUAAGAACUACAUACGUUGAGAAUCCAUUUAUAUUGCCCAAACUAAUUUUAUCAUUAGUUGCACUUUGCAGAUUGGGAGAUAGGUUGACAAAAUUCUACAACGACCUUUACUUGUCUCACCAUUAGUUUGUUAUCUAUUCAUCAAAUCAAAUAAAUAAAAAAUCAAACUAUGCAAGUUGUGGAGGUAUUAGGUAGUACAUGAUAUUAUUUUGAGUCAGUUUGUUGGUAUUGUUCUUUAAAAAGAAUUAUUUUUAGUGAAUGAAAUAAACAAAAUUAUAUUCUUUGUGUUUAUCUAAUCUGGUUGAUUUGAAAUAAGCAUUUUUAAUUUAUUAUAGUAAGUGAAUCCUCUGUUUCUUAACAAGUGAUUUUUAAAAAAAUUAUUUAUUUCAGAAACACUUAUUUAAAGUUUAAACAAAUGACCUAAUAUUAAUCCAUGAAUUUAGGGUUUCUCUCUACUUUUUAGGAGUUAUUUAAAUUAUAAUGAACCUGACUUCUUCUUUCAAAAAAGUGGUCAAAGGGAUUUAAAAAAGAUUGAAUUCAGUAAAAUCUUUUCAAAAUAUUUUUUAAUAUCAAAUUAAAAUUUAAAUAUAUUAAUUGUUCGAAGCGUAAUUAAAAAAUAGGGAAAAGAGAGGCAUUCUAUGUCUCUAUAUAUUUUUGUAAAAACAUAAAUAAAAGAAUAAGAGAUGGUGAAUGCAGAGAAUCCAAAUCAUAUCCUACUUUAGGAACUAUCAUAAGAGGAAGGAAAAAGUAUCAUUCAAGAGUGUAGGUGAAUGUACAUGCACUGCUAUGUUAAUACCAGAUAGAUUUUAUUUUAAUCAUCUCCGUAAAAGCAAAAUCAUUGUUGUCAUGCAGAUGUGUGGCUACCAAACCAAGCCAUUAAAUCAAACAAUUUCUGUGAUUCGCCUUCAUCUUUUAGUUGUGUUGACUUCAUCUUGAGCUAAAAACUGAAAGAACCUGAAGUGGACAGAACAAAUACAGAGUUUUCCGAUGGAUGAUGGAUCAUUA
rnacentral:lncRNA from 1 species